rnacentral:pre_miRNA from 1 species
CUUUUGGGAUGCAUUUUGUGCAGUCAUGUCAACAACUAAACUCAUCACUGGGCAAAGUGUGUCUCAAAAU